UACUUUAUUCACUCUAAACCAGUUGAUGGAAACACUUCUAAUUCACAUUUUCUUUUUUUCUACAUUUUAAAAGUUC